GACGAACGCUGGCGGCGUGCUUAACACAUGCAAGUCGAACGGAAAGGCCCUGCUUGUGUGGUGUGCUCGAGUGGCGAACGGGUGAGUAACACGUGAGUAACCUGCCCUUGACUUUGGGAUAACUUCAGGAAACUGGGGCUAAUACCGGAUAGGAGCUCCUGCUGCAUGGUGGGGGGUGGAAAGUUUCGGGGGUUGGGGAUGGACUCGGGGCUUAUCAGCUUGUUGGUGGGGUAGUGGCUUACCAAGGCUUUGACGGGUAGCCGGCCUGGGAGGGUGGCCGGCCAAAUUGGGAAUGGAGACAGGCCCGACCCCCACAGGGGGGAGGAAGGGGGGAAAUUUCCCAAAUGGGGGGAAGCCUGGUGCACGAACCCCGGGGGGGGGAGACGGGCCUUUGGGUUGGAAACCCGUUUCCGCAUGGACGAAGUGUGAGUGACGGUAAUGGGUAAAGAAGCACCGGCUAACUACGUG
rnacentral:rRNA from 1 species